rnacentral:lncRNA from 1 species
GCCACAGGAAAAUGGAGAUGUAAAAAACCUCUUGAUCUUAAAAAGAGCUACGCACUUAAAUUCAGAGACUAAAUGAGAGCUAAGGGAAAUCCAUUUCUUUAAUUAUAACCUCAUCAAAAGUAUGUUAAUCAAAUGAUAGUGAUACAUGAAGGAUUUAGAUCUAUAAAUGCCAAAAUACAGGAUUAAUACAUAUAAUCACAGGAUUCUUGAGUAACAACUUGUGUGAAUACAAUAUCCACUGGUGAUCAAACAAGAGCUAUAAAGAAUUUUUUGUAGGGAAAAGUAAAAUCCACCUGUCAUUUUUUUCAUUUAUUAUUAAUAUAAGGAUAUUGAAUAUUCAGAUGAUCAUGCAAAGUAAUCCCCUAAAAUGUAAAUUUCAGUUGGAUUCAAAAUGUUUAACUGUCAUUCAAUUAGAAACUAAACAACCAGAGAUUUAAAAGAGAAAUUGCAGACCGACUGGCAGUGAAGGCUUCAGAGAAGAACACACCAUAACACAACCUUUCAGUGGUUUAAGCUUGAAAAUCAAAACGGAAAUCUCUGAAGCACCCGUGUUUUACAAUUUGGUGAUGAGAAUAUGAAGAUAAGUGAGCAAACAUAAGUUAGCUGAUGUUUGAAUUUUCAUAUUCCAAAAUAUAAAAUCAAGAAUAAAUGACUGUCAAGUGUAUUCUGUCAUGAUAUAUAACCCAGAGUAAAUGUAUAUGUAUUAUUAGUUCAUACUUCUGCCAGUUACUUUAUUUUUGCAAUAUACUGUCAAGGAAGAGUAACUUAUUAAGCAGGAGCCCUUAGUAAGUCCCCAAAAAGUUUAUCUAACUUUUAUGGUAGACAACCUCUAUUAAAAAUUCUUUCUUUAGUGGAUUUAGUUGAAAUAAUAUUCUCAGAAAUAUAAAGACGACACACAAUGUUAUGUAGCUUAGACUGUAAUACAAAUAUCAGAGUAGGUUCUGACAAAAACUUUAUGUAAAUAUUUUACUGCAAUUAAAAAUGUACAAAAAACUAUGCCUUAGUUUUUCUUUAGGCUUCAAACUAUGGACAUUUAGACUUGUAAAAAAAAAUGGAAAAUACUAUAAAUUGGCACGAAGCCUACUUAACAUGAUGAGAAUGGAAUUGAUAAUGUAGCAAUCUCUGAAAAUAAAUGGAAGCCGACUAGGUGAAUAAUAAUAAUGUGGAAUGCAACAUGAGGCAAGAUGAUGCAAGUAGAAUGGUUCAUCGUAUAACAAAAACAGGGAGAGAAAAGCAGCUUACCUCUAAGUGUUCUUGUGAACCUAUGUGCAUUGAAAUGAAUUACAUUUGUGAGGACUGCUGGGAAGGGGCUGAAGUGAAAGUGUCAGGAAUGCUGUCCAACUAGUGUUAUGCUCAGCAUUAUUUUUUCUAAAAACCAAUAGAUUCCAGAACACAUUCCCUUUUUAUUAACAGAUUCUCUGUGAUUUAUGUCAAUUUAUGUUACAUUUAUUUAUUUAAUUUGUAAGAAGUUUGAUGUUCAAUUUAUAGAAUCUAAGAAAUGUUGGUCAUUUUAAAAUAAAAUAAAAAUUUAAAAAUACCAUUUGGUAUCUGUUCAUGGAAAUGCAAAAUUGCAUACACUAUUAUUUAAUAUUUGUAUUUUCCCAUUGAGCAUAGUCUGAAAGCACUAACUUCCACAUUCCCCCCCACUACAAAAACAAAACAAAACAAAACAAAAACCCGGAAACUGUGUUCUAAAAUUUUCGUUUAGUAAAUGAUAUACAUGAUUCUCUGUUUACUAUUAGAAAAGAAUUAACAAAUUGGGAUAAGCAACAUAAAAGGUGAAGCUGGUUUAUAAAUAAAUAAUUACUCAACCCUUUGAACCCAGUCUCGUCUCCCCACUAUGUCCACUCUAUAUUUAGUAGGAAUGUGGUAAAAAGAAAUAACAGAUAAGAACUGCUAUUUACAAUGCAAAUUUAAAAUAUUAAAUAUUAAUUUUAGCCUCCACCUCAUCUCUCCUGAACAUUUCUCCCAGCGGUUUUAACCAUCCACUAUCUAGUAGAGUUUCUGGUAUAUAAUAGGGAUUCACAUGUAAGUUGAAUAAAUGACCACUUGAUCUAAUUUCACAUAAAACCAAAGAGAUGUGGACCAGAAUCAAGUACAAACUUCAAAUGGGUAUCUGGCAAAUAUGAUUCUGUUAUCUGAUGUGAUAUAAAAAAUAUAUAGACAUCUGGUAAUUUGAACACCAAAUUACAUCUAAGUUUAUAUUGUUCUUAUAAUGUAACAAGUAACAUCUAUUAAAGAUAAGAUUCCAAAAUAUUCUUCUGAAAUGGACAAUUCUAAAAAGAAGUUCUAAAAUGUCAUGCCAAAACAUUUACCCCUUCCACCUUUUUCCAUAGCCCACAUAAUGCCUAUAUAAAUCAUACAAGAUUCUAGAUCUUACAAUAGUAGAGAAUCAUCUUUGGACCGAGUUUCCUGCUUAUUACAACUAGAAAUCUGGACAAUUUAUCUGAGUGAGUCUUACCAAUAACUUCUAAGAUCAAGAUUCUAGACAUAAGAGAAAUUGAGAUGUGUAUCGCAGUCAGCUCACUGUUUCUCUUAAGGUAUUUGCCCAUGUGAAUGCAGCAGCAAAGAGGCUUAAAAACUAAUAAUAAGUUUGGCAGGCUUAAAAAGGAGGAGGAUCUCUGGUAAACAUUAUAGCAUGAGACCCCAAAUGGUUACAUCUUGGGAGGGUGAGGACAAAAUAAAAAUCCUCAUUGGUAGAAGUUAACAUUUAUUGAAUUAUUUCAAAUAUUAUCUCUAAAUAGUUUCUAAUUACCUCUAAAAUUUUUCAAAUGUGAUUUUUCAAAAUGAAUUAAAAAUGUAUAAGCAUACAAAAUUGCAAGAACUGAUCAAACUCCAAGAAAAAAAAAACAG